GCUCGCUCGCUCCCUCUUUCUCUCUCUCUGCCCUUCUCCUGCUUGCUCUUCGUGUCUCUUUCAAAAUCAGUGAAAAUUUUAAAAACUGAAAAAAAUAAAAGAAUUAAGAAUGAAAGUGUCCCGUAAUAAUUGAAUAAGCAUGUAAAACUUAAUACAGGUGAAAUGCAAAAUUCUUCAGUUAUACUCAGAAAAAUUAUCUGUACAAAGAUGGGUUAGGAAAAGACCUGGUUAGGAGUCCAAAUGAAGAGAGACCUUGGGUAAAAAGCAGGAGCAUUUCGCUCUUGAAGGUCAGCCUACAUUUUAAUCCACGCUCUGUCACUAAGAAAGGAGUUGAAUCAGCUAGCACUUCCGAGCCUCCGUUGCCUCAAAUGUAAAACGGGAUGAUCGCCGCACCUCUUCUGGAGGAUGUUGAAUGCCUUAAAUGAGAUGCCGCAUGGAGAGGGCUCGGCUGGUACCAGCACCGGAAAAAGGAACCAGCCUGUAGCGAAUGCUACAUGAAGGUCAGCCUCUGGGGUGGCCCCCGUUAUCCCCACCCUCUACCAGGGCUGGUCUGUGGCCAAUAGGGUGUGGCAGAAUUGACGGUACGUCACUUCCGAGAUGAGGUCACAAAAGACACUGAGGCCCGGCAUCAUUCACCCUGGAGGAAGCCGCGCCAUGAGGACAGGCCCCGUGGCGAGGAGCCAGAGCCCCUGCCAGCAGCGUGCGAGGGAGCUCGGAAGUCUCUCCCGUGCCAGAUCCGAGUCUGCAGCCCCAGCCAACAUCUUGACCACAGACUCCGGAAAGACCCUCAGCUGGAGCCACCCCCACAAGCCACUCUUAGAUUCCUGAUCCUGAGAAACGGAGGCAUAUGGAUGAUCUCAUAUCAUCGUUGUAAUAUAAGUGCUAUGAGCCUCAUUUUACAAAGCCUGAGACCCAAAAAGGUAAAAUGCCUUACCCAAAGGAAAGUGUCAGAAUCCGAAGUUGUCAGCAGGGCCGUGUGACUGUCCCACUCCAGGCUCUACGUUUCCAUGCUGGACUUUCUCUUCCUCUCUGCCAACCUACCAUCCUGCCACGGGAUUAAAAUAAAGAGUGAAAGCUGAA